AUGCCCUUUUUCUGUUCCAGGAUGCCAUCCAGGAUACCACAUUACGUUUAGUCAUCAUGUCUCCAUAGGCUCCUCUUGGCUGUGACAGUUUCUGAGGCUUUCCUUGUUUUUGAUGACCUGGAGUCAUCAACAUUUGAGGAGUACCGGUCAGCCAAUCCCAGGGAAGACGGGAGGACACUCUUCCAAUGGGAGCCCGGGAGCCGUCCGUAGCGGUGGAGGCCUGCGACCCCGCUCUCGUUUGAGCCGGCGGGAGGGACGUGUCCAGGGUGUUCGCGAGAUCCAGCUGCCGGCCCCUGGAAUCUGCUCGCGUGCAGCAGCGGCAGCGCCGAAGGCCGGAGGUGUCGGGUCAGCGGGUUGCGGAGGAUCGUGCGGGUAGCAGAGGGAGGGGAGUGCUCCUGCAGCCCCGGACGGCGACCAGAACAUGCAUCAUUGUUAGAACCAUCACCCUGCAGCUAGCUUGGACACCAUUAAAAGGGCUCAUCAGCUGCAAACGGAUAGAAGUAUCUGAUAUUCAUGAAGACAGAGUUUUAGGGCUUCUACCUGGAGCUACACUCUCCAGAAGCCCCUGCUUGGACUCCGUGCACCCAACCAGUCACAGCUUGGACUGUGUGUGGUGUUUCUUGGCAACUGGAACAGACUUCUCCAGCAGCUCCACAGGCCCCUUGUCCUCAGUGAGCAGAAGACUACAGAAGCUGGCUACUGAAGAGGCUGUCCAAGUCAUAGAGCUCCUCCUUGGCCCUGCUUAGCACAUUUACCACGGAGCAGUAACUGAGUGCUGGAUGUUACUCAUUCAUGCUCACCACCUUCAGGGACUGCAGAGGGAUUUGUCAGAUCCCAUUUCACUAAAGGCCACCCUCUAAGGAUCUCCACAGGAGGCUGCCCAUAGAGAGAGGUGGCCUACCUAGGGUCUCCACUGCCUUAGGUCCUAUGUGGACACCUCCACGGCUGAGGGUAUCAAUAUCUCUUCACCUACCUGUAAUCCACAUACUGGAAAAUUCUGCCUCCUGUUAUUUUCUGUUCUUUGUGUUUUUGGUAAGAAGACUUUUAACUACUGCUUAAAUUCCUUUAGUAGUUAGAAGACUAUUCAGGAUUUCUUUUUCUUCUUGAGUCAAUUUUGGUAAGUUAUAGUUUUCUAAGAAUUGGUCCAUUUUGUCUGCAUUCUCAAAUUUAUUGGCAUAAAGUUCCCUCAUUGUUUUUAUUCUCUGCUGUGUAUAAUCUGUAGUUAUGUCUCCUUUUUCAUUGCUGAUAUUGGUUAUUUGUGCCUUCUCACUUUUUUUCUUGAUCAAUCUCACCAGAGGUUUGUCUAUUUUAUUAGUCUUUUCAAAGAACCAACUUUUGGCUUUGUUGCUCCUUUCUAUUGUGUCUUUGUUUUCUAUUUCUUUAAUUUCUGCUCUUAUCUUUUUUGAUCUCCUUCCUUCCACAUUUUUUGGAUUCAUUCUGUUGUUCUUUUUCUAAUUUCUUAAAUUGGACACUGAGCUCAUUAAUUUUCAGCCUUUCUCGUUUUCUAAUUUGUGCAUUUAAGGAUAUAAAUUUCCCUCUAAAUACUGCUUUCUACAAGUUCAGGUAUGUCAUAUUUCAUUAUUGUUCGGUUCCAAGUACUUCAACAUUUCCAUCAUGGUUAUUUCACUGACCUGUGUAUUAUAUAGAAGUGUGUUUUUAAAUUUCUAAAUGUUUGGGGAUUUUUUAAUUUAUUUCUUUCUUAUUGAAAUCUGUCUUAAUUGCAUUAUGGUCACAGGAUGUGGUCUGUGUGAUAACAACUCUUUGUAAUUUAUCGAAACUUGUUUUAUGGCUUAGCACAUGAUCAAUAUUUUUUAAUGUUUCCUAUGUGUUUUAUAAGAAUGUAUGUUCUCUAAUUGUUGAAUAUAGAGUUCUACUUGUCUUUUAUCAAAAAACUUGUCUUUUAUCAAGUUUCUUAAUUGUCCAAAUUUUCUAUAUCUAUACUGAUUUUUUUGAUCAUGAUAUUGAUCAAUAAUUGUAAGAGGUAUGUUAAUAUUCAACUAAGAUGGCGAAUUUGUAUAUUUCUCCUUAUAGUUUUUUUUUUACUUUAUAUAUUUUGAGGCUAUUGUAU